GAUGAACGCUGGCGGCGUACCUAAUACAUGCAAGUCGAACGAAGAUCUAGCUGGCUAGAUCUUAGUGGCGAACGGGUGAGUAAUACAUAAAUAAUCUGCCCAUAUGACUGGGAUAACUAUUGGAAACGAUAGCUAAUACCGGAUAGGUUGAUUGGAGGCAUCUCUGAUUAAUUAAAGUAGGAUUUCUACACAAAUGGAUGAGUUUAUGGCGCAUUAGUUAGUUGGUGGGGUAACGGCCUACCAAGACGAUGAUGCGUAGCCGACCUGAGAGGGUGACCGGCCACACUGGGACUGAGACACGGCCCAGACGCCUACGGGAGGCAGCAGUAGGGAAUUUUCGGCAAUGGGCGCAAGCCUGACCGAGCAACGCCGCGUGAGUGAUUAAGGCCUUCGGGUUGUAAAGCUCUGUUGUAAGGGAAGAACAUUCAGGAUAGGAAAUGAUCUUGAACUGACGGUACCUUACCAGAAAGCCACGGCUAACUACGUGCCAGCAGCCGCGGUAA
rnacentral:rRNA from 1 species